GACUCACGCUUUCAAAGGUCCCGCCAGAAGACUACGGAGCGGCACUGGGGCCAAAACUCAAGCCUUCGCGCAGUCCGCCCAGGUUUGCUUGGCCUUCCAGAUUUGACUUAGACUGAAGAAGCCUUCCAGAUCAAUGGCUAGAAAGGAAGCACCGAGGCAUUAAAAGCACUGGACCAGCAACCGAGCAUCUGGGAGAGAAGACUCAGCUCCAGCCCUGCAGAGAAAGAAUGGAAAGACAUAGGAAGGCCUUCACAGCUACCUGCUUGGAAGGCACAGCCCCUGCUCAACCUCAAAGUGUCAAUACAGCUUCCAGUAAGAAGUGGAAUCUGCUGGUUCUGGAAACAUAGGGCUUGCUUGAAAAACAAGAGCGCUUUAGAAAAUGUGUUAUGAUCUCAGAUGCAUAUAAUUGAUGAGAUCCUGAUUCCAUUGUGGUUCAGUGCACUGGGAAGAUGUGACAGGGAAUUCAAGCCUUCCCUGAGGGAAGAUGGCCACUGACAGUGUUCCAUCUGCUAUGAUUGCAUAAGACUCCAGGCUGGCCCUAGCAGCUGGCCACAGCCUCAGUGUCCUGACGUCAUUUCUGCUCCACAAUUCUCUUCACUCUAACUCAGCCAGAAAAAAAAGUAUCAGUUCUCAAUUUCCAAUGAAUCCAUGAAUGACAGGAAAUAAA